rnacentral:misc_RNA from 1 species
AAAGCACAAGUUUUUUGUGAAAGCAGGUUCCCAGUUGAUUGAAGUGCCAGAUGUUGGAGAAUGGGAAGGAUCAAGACGGAUGUCACUGAUGGCAAACUCCUUCAAGGGAAUCCAUAUAUUUCCUAGAUGUCCUGAUCUUUUCACUUUGUUUCUCAGUGCUAAUCAUGGCUUGUGCGAGAUCAAUGACAAUUUCUUUCAGUUUAUGGAUGCACUAACUGUUCUAGACCUGUCAAGCACUGGCAUAAAUGAAUUGCCAAAGGGAAUAUCAAAAUUGAACUCAUU